UAGAAGGAUCCACAUGUAGUCUAGGGGGUGCGAGAGACCCCUCAACAAGAGACCUAGCUCUUUAGCCCCUCUAUGCUUGCCCUCCUCCCAACCAAACCUGAGGGAAUAAUUAAAUAUACAGAGACCAAGAGAAGGCAGAGAGGGACCUUCGAAACUGAGUUCAGAAGAAAUGGCAAGAUAGUUCCGCAGGUAAAGGCACUUGUUGCCAAGUCUGACCACACAAGUUUCAUCGCCUGAACCUACAUGGUAUAAAACCAUGUACUCACAGCCACUAACUUUGACCUCAGCCUGGUCCUGACUGUGUUUCAUCAGGUAAUUAUCUUGAGCAAGAUGCUAGGAGAGCAUUCUAGUUAUCCCAGGGCAUUUGGCCACUCCCCCACAGACCCCUGAGGGAAGCAUGGGCACAAUGGCACCAAACAUGGUGAAGGCACCCAAGAAGAAAACCACUCAAAGAGAACCAGUCAUUCUUAGCCUUAGCCAGUCAUUCUAACUCCUCAUCAGUGAAAGGGGAUUCAUAGCAACAGGGAGGGGCUGGGGCAUGGCUCUGGAGAGAGUGUGUUUAGCAGGCACUGGGCCUGGGAUACAUCUCUAGCUCCAAGAAAAAUAGCAAUAGAAAAGCUUGUGUCCAGUGAUGUUUACCACACACAAAAAAAAAACUGUUUUUGGUGUGUUGUGUGUUUUACCUUGUAAUUUACUGAAUCACUGCUGCCCCUAAAGGUGGGUGUUGUUCUUCUCAUGUUGUGAGUGACCACCAAUGUUAAGGUUAAGAUCCACAGGUUCAAGAAAGGCCACCUGACUUGAACACCCUAUAGCAGUGGUUCUCAACCUAUGGGUAGUGACCCCCUUGGGGUGGCAUAUCAUAUAUUCUGCAUAUCAGAUAUUUACAUUACAAUUUAUAACAGUAGCAAAAUUACAGUUAUGAAGUAGCGACAAAAUAAUUGUACGGUUAGGGGUCACCACAACAUGAGGAACUGUAUUAUAGUGUUAGAGCCUAGGGUGAUUUCAGGAUUGAGGGAGGCAGUGCAUGGCCCUCACCAUAUGAGAGGGACUGUCUCUAUGCUCUAUGGUGCUGUUGACCUCCACCAGUCCUAACCCAAAUGUCAGCCGUUACUAUGUCCCGGCAUUGCAGAGUACUGCCAGUUGUGAGUACAGCCUGGGGCUCUAGGGAACACAUCUGAUUUUUGUUCUGACAAAAAAGACACACAUGAGGACAUGGUGUGGACAUCUCAAAGGGGUGUCACUGUCACAUGAGCAUGUUUUACCCCGUGAGACAGUCCCUCCCCAGGCUGCACUGGAGAGUUAUGAAGGGGAGGGUGCAGCAAUCUGCUGAGUCUGGGGCCACCCAGGUCAUAGGACUGCCUGCUGCAAUAUGGCCCUCGGCUGGACCCAGUGCUCAGUGACAAGCUUACCUUCUUGCCCCUGCAAAUAAUUCCUUGAGGAAGCAGAUGGAAGGGCAGUGAGGCUGAGGAGGAAGCGAGAGGUGAGGGGACUUGUGUUAAAACAAACUGCAAGUGCCAAUAACAACUGAGGUGAGUUGCCAACAUUUGUGAACUUCCCUUAAGACCUGCAUUCCAGCUGUCCUCUGCAAGCCUCUGGGGGCUGGGAAGAGGGAGUGUGCCUCUGUGAGGCAUAAGAACAAGGACUGGGCCGCUGUCCAAUCCCAGCUGUGUCACUCUGUGUGUUCUUGGCUGAGUAACUUCACCUCUCUGUGUUCUGGUUCCUUCAGGUGCACAAUGAAGAUAAUAAGAGUCCUUGCUUCAGAACUGUCGUGAAGAUUGCCUGAGAACACAGCUUGAGGAUACUCUAGGGCAAGUGUGGUAAGAUGGCUCAGCAGGAAAAGGUGCUUGCACUACAAGCCUGGAAAUCUGAGUUCAAUCCCUGGAACCCAGGCAUGGAUGGGCCUCUCUGGUCAGAGGUGUGAGGGAGAUCAGAGAAGGAGUGUGCUGGCUGGCUGGCAGAGUAUGGGCACCCUCUGACAUUCUCCAGCACAGCCAGCUUGGCCCAAGUAGGUCAGGGCAGUUUCCUGGCCUGUAGCCUGAGUUCCCUCCCACUCACUUGUAUUUAUGGCCAAGAUCUGCCUGGAGCCCUCUUACCUUCAAAGGCUGAGGACACUGCUUGCUCAGACUCUACUCAAGGACUCUGCAGGGCAGGGCAGGGCAGGGCAGGGCAGGGCUGGAUGGCUUCCUGAGGGUACAGCUGACUUGGAUGGCCCACAGAGAGCUCAGCCCUGGGCAAGCCAUUUUGGGCAGGGACUGCACCUGUAAGCUCCACCCUGCAGUUUCUGUCCCACCUGCCCCAUCUUUUCUUUAGAAGUCAGAGCAGCAUAGAGUGGACUCAGCCUACAAGCUGCACAACUGCAUCUGUGGUAUGGGAUUCCUUGGCUAGCCUCAGCCUCUGGGUACCCAACUCACUCCCACUGGCUACUAAGAGGAAGAAACAACACUUCACCCUUCUGCCUUCUCUAGAAUCUUCUAUGCAUGACACACCUCUCAGGCCCUGAAAACGCAUACAUUACCCAAGCUGGUGGCCAAGACUCCUCUUGUUAUGGGAUCAAGAAAGGUAAAGUUCCCUGCUGCAGCUCUGCUAAGGCCUGCAGGGUUGACCUGAAGAAGCAGUUUGUGCCCAGGGCUAAUAAAUUAUGAUUCCCUGGUUCCUGAAUGCUCUUGUAAGCACACCUCAGCAUCGGCGUUCCUGGGCACCUCCACUUGUGUAUAAGCACAGACAAACGUGCAUACCACAUGGGGAUCAGUGCAUACAUGUAGAAUUCUGCUUCCCCAUCGUGUCUAUGCUCCUGACUGCAUGUACCUACUUCAAUAGACAACAGCUCUCAAACACUGUGUCCCUGUCUACACUUAGACCCUGGAUGUACAGCUGUGUGCGCAUUGCUCUCUGUUGCUUCACUGGCAGUGAGUCUUAAAUCGUGUAUGUUUUUACAUUUCCUUCUCCUAGAGCAUACUUGGUAUUUGCUAUCAUUGUAUAUAGUUUUAUAUCAAGCCUAAACCUUCUCAUUUAGACUAAAAGGGGAAUUGUAGCAAUAUAUUUGCCUGUGAACCUGUAACAAUGGCCAUGCCUUUUCAGUUAAAGGGAGAGGAUAAGGAGGCAGGGUCUACAUCAUUGGAGCAGGAACACCACGACAGCCACUUACUUUUUUCUGUGUAAGUUCUUUCCCUAAUAAAACUCCACUUAUCAUUUA